UGAAUUUAUCUAUUACCACAUAUAAUUCUAACAAUUGCAACGGUCUAACUAAAUCUAAAACUCAACAAAUUUAGUAACUAUACUGAAACUCGUUCAAACUCUGUUAGGCUACUCUAGAUUAACUGCCAUUCAUACACGCAGUACACAGCAACUAGAAACAAAGAUGCCUGGUUUGCUUUUCUUCACAUGCGCGCGUACGUGCCUCCAUCACCUCUGGACUUGAAUCUUGAGCUUCCGUCCUUGCGGAUGGCUCUCUUGUCACUGCAGACCUGCUUAAGCCAGACGACGUCGUGUGCUGCUGGCCAAGUACCUCGGGUAUAGCUAUAUAGCUCAUGCAGACUCGGUUGACUCUGUGCCGUCAUGAUCGCACCGUCACCGUGAACGAGGCUGCUACCUUAGACGCAUGAGAAGACUGGCAGAAACGACAGCGAAGCUUCUCCCAGUGCCAAAUAUGCCACCGCUGUACAAGACCUCCGGCAAACAUCACAAGCUGCUGUCGGCAGUGGCUUGCAAUUGGGUGUCAGCAGUGCGUAGAGCGGGCGAAUUUUUUUUUUGGGCCCCGUUGGGUGUGGCUUUGGCUGUUCCCGUAUGCACUUCCUCGCGGUUUUCAGUGGUCUGGUAGUACGAGGCUCGGCAGUCAAUGGACAUCUUGCAACCGCGAUUUUGACAUAAACGAACUGCUGUCUUUUUGCGCACCUUUCGAGCAGUAACCUGCGCCGUUUAUUGAAAGGGGGCCUCAGUUUUUGUCGUCUGCUGAACGUGGUUUUCUCGGCACAAAUCAACUUCAAUAAAUUAGGCGACAGUGUAUAUAUUGAGUAACUGGUAUUUCAUUGGGGUGGACAAGGUCUGUGACUGUUGUUGUCGACAAGAACUGUCUGGCUUGCUGCAUUCUGGGUGUUCUGACCAUCUCUAAUGGCCAUGUGAAAAAUGUGAGAGCGUUACCUGGGCCAUCAAGCUACACCUGGUACUGAAAUAAUCCAGGUAGCCAAGCAUGGUGUUUAAUUGUCCUUUUGUUGGCUAUGUCACAUUACUGGUUGAUGACACUUGAAAGACACCAUGUAUUUGAGACAAUAGCAAAAUCAACAUGGUCCUUAAUACUUCUAAAAUGAUCUGUUGCCAGCCAGCUGAAAGUUGUUUGGCUGAAAUUCUUUGUCAACAUUAUUAAUUAACAAUGAGUUGAUGUCUGCUACUUGUUAUGAGUUCAUUUGAAGCCAUGCUCUAACUAGAAGAAGGAGUCAUGAUCAGUGAAACCUGCGCUACUACAGAGAUGAGAGUGAUGAAAGUAGUCUUAGUUGCUAGUUGUACCAAGACGACAGUUGUGACUUCAGAUGUGACUUUAGAUAACUAUACUUUGACAGAGUAUUACAUUGCCUUUAGCAAUAAAAUGUUUGUCACUGCUUAUCUUGCAUAUGCAUUGGAUGUCCACAAAUAAUCAUGAGUCAUCUGACUCUUGUUAGAACUAUAAUUAUAAUAACGUCCAAACAUUGUGGUCAGAUCUAUAAUUUGUGACUUGUAAUAGGCAACUUCCAUUGUGUAUGUGCAACAGCAGCAGUCGCUAUUUCUUUUCUCACAGGAUGCAGAUCAGCA